rnacentral:rRNA from 1 species
UACGUAGGGGGCAAGCGUUGUCCGGAUUUAUUGGGCGUAAAGAGCGUGUAGGCGGCUUGGCAAGUCUGCUGUGAAAGCUCGAGGCUUAACCUCGAGACGUCGGUGGAAACUGCCUGGCUAGAGUUCGGAAGAGGAGAGUGGAAUUCCUGGUGUAGCGGUGAAAUGCGCAGAUAUCAGGAAGAACACCCGUGGCUAAGGCGGCUCUCUAGUACGGUACUGACGCUGAGACGCGAAAGCGUGGGGAGCGAACAGG